CCUUCGGGUUGUAAAGCUCUUUUGUCAGGGUAAGGAAACGGUACUCUCUAAUAUAGGGUGCUAAUGACGGUACCUCGAAGAAUAAGCACCGGCUAACUACGUGC
rnacentral:rRNA from 1 species